rnacentral:rRNA from 1 species
UACGGAGGGUGCGAGCGUUGUCCGGAAUCAUUGGGCGUAAAGGGCGCGUAGGUGGCCUGCUAAGCGUGCGGUGAAAGCUCGGGGCUCAACCCCGAGUCGGCCGUGCGAACUGGUGGGCUUGAGCACUGUAGAGGCAGGCGGAAUUCCGGGUGUAGCGGUGAAAUGCGCAGAUAUCAGGAAGAACACCAGCGGCGAAGGCGGCACUCUGGGCUGGAAUUGACGCUGAGGAGCGAAAGUGUGGGUAGCAAACAGG